UUCUAAUAUGGCAGACCAGUGCAUUGGAUUUAAGCCCCAAAUAUAAAAAUUUUAUUUUUUUUUAGA
rnacentral:tRNA from 1 species